ensembl:lncRNA
UGGGAUCUGGGUCUGUGUGGUGGGGAAUGGGAUCACGGUCUGUGUGGUGGGGAAUGGGUUCACGGUCUGUGUGGGGAGGAAUGGGAUCAGGGUCUGUGUGUUGGGGAAUGGGUUCAAGGUCUGUGUGGUGGGGAAUUGGUUCACGGUCUGUGUGGGGGGAAUGGGAUCUGGGUCUGUGUGGGGGGGAAUGGGAUCUGGGUCUAUGUGGGGGAAUGGGAUCUGGGUCUGUGUGGUGGGGAAUGGGUUCACGGUCUGUGUGGUGGGGAAUGGGAUCAGGGUCUGUGUGGGGGGAAUGGGAUCAGGAACUUUGUGGGGGGAAUGGGAUCAGGGUCUGUGUGGGGGGAAUGGGGAUCUGGGUCUGUGUGGGGGGAAUGGGAUCUGGGUCUGUGUGGUGGGGAAUGGGAUCUGGGUCAGUGUGGUGGGGAAUGGGAUCUGGGUCUGUGUGGUGGGGAAUGGGUUCAAGGUCUGUGUGGUGGGGAAUGGGUUCACAGUCUGUGUGGGGGGGGAAUGGGAUCUGGGUCUGUGUGGGGGGAAUGGGAUCUGGGUCUGUGUGGGGGAAUGGGAUCUGGGUCUGUGUGGUGGGGAAUGGGUUCACGGUCUGUGUGGUGGGGAAUGGGUUCACGGUCUGUGUGUGGGGGGAAUGGGAUCUGGGUCUGUGUGGGGGGAAUGGGAUCAGGGUCUGUGUGGUGGGGAAUGGGUUCAAGGUCUGUGUGGUGGGGAAUGGGUUCACGGUCUGUGUGGGGGG